rnacentral:lncRNA from 1 species
UUGUCCGGCUAUUGCAAUGGCAUCCUUUUUUUGUCGGAAAUCCCGAAUUCCAGCCACCACCGGUCCGUUUUCGCCGGAAUUCUCCUCUUAAAUGAGCCAGAAAAAGUACUUUUGAAGUUGGACGUUGACAAUUAUUAAUCAGCUUUACUUUCUUUUGGGUGGGAGAAGCUUCUUAUCUUGAUGUUGUUCGAGUAUGACAAAGAUUGCUUGAACCGACGAACCAGAUCGAUAGUUGGUUAGGUUUUUUGGGGGUUUAGUUUUUAGCAUUUUAGCUUUGG